GCGCAAGAUCAUCGGACUAGCUUCUGUCGCAUCUUGUCCGUUCUGAGCGCCAGAAGUGAAAUCUUCGGAACCGGACUGAGCAUGGAUUCUCCCGGCUGACAACGAUUUCGGACGCGGGUUCGACUCCCGCCGCCUCCACCA
rnacentral:tmRNA from 1 species